rnacentral:tRNA from 1 species
GCUCCUGUGGCGCAAUUGGUUAGCGCAUGAGUCUUAUAUUCUCAAGGUUGUCGGUUCGAGCCCGACCAGGAGCA